rnacentral:rRNA from 1 species
UCAAGAUUGACGCUCAUGCACGAAAGCGUGGGGAGCAAACAGGAUUAGAUGCCCUGGUAGUCCACGCCCUAAACGAUGUCUACUAGUUGUCGGGUCUUAAUUGACUUGGUAACGCAGCUAACGCGUGAAGUAGACCGCCUGGGGAGUACGGUCGCAAGAUUAAAACUCAAAGGAAUUGACGGGGACCCGCACAAGCGGUGGAUGAUGUGGAUUAAUUCGAUGCAACGCGAAAAACCUUACCUACCCUUGACAUGGCAGGAAUCCCGGAGAGAUCUGGGAGUGCUCGAAAGAGAACCUGCACACAGGUGCUGCAUGGCUGUCGUCAGCUCGUGUCGUGAGAUGUUGGGUUAAGUCCCGCAACGAGCGCAACCCUUGUCAUUAGUUGCUACGCAAGAGCACUCUAAUGAGACUGCCGGUGACAAACCGGAGGAAGGUGGGGAUGACGUCAAGUCCUCAUGGCCCUUAUGGGUAGGGCUUCACACGUCAUACAAUGGUACAUACAGAGGGCCGCCAACCCGCGAGGGGGAGCUAAUCCCAGAAAGUGUAUCGUAGUCCGGAUUGUAGUCUGCAACUCGACUACAUGAAGUUGGAAUCGCUAGUAAUCGCGGAUCAGCAUGUCGCGGUGAAUACGUUCCCGGGUCUUGUACACACCGCCCGUCACACCAUGGGAGCGGGUUUUACCAGAAGUAGGUAGCUUAACCGCAAGGAGGGCGCUUACCACGGUAGGAUUCGUGACUGGGGUGAAGUCGUAACAAGGUAACCA